rnacentral:rRNA from 1 species
GACGAACCGUGCAAACGUUGUUCGGAAUCACUGGCUUAAAGGGCGCGUAGGCGGCUCGCCAAGUCGGGGGUGAAAUCUUUCGGCUCAACCGGAAAAGUGCCUUCGAUACUGGCGGGCUGGAGGGAGGUAGGGGCAUGUGGAACUUCCGGUGGAGCGGUGAAAUGCGUAGAUAUCUGGAGGAACAUCAGUGGCGAAGGCGACACCCUGGACUCAUACUGACACUGAGGUGCGAAAGCGUGGGGAGCAAACAGG